GAUGCAAUAUGUCUGCGCCCAGGGGACGCUUGCUGGGAGCAGCCAUUUUCAACCCUACUGCCGUAGAGCAGGCGGAGUCCCUCUUUUCGCGCCUUAAGACAGAAACACAAAAUGAUCCUCUGACAAGUGAUGAAGAAGAAUGGGAAGAUGUGAAAAUCCAAGCAAGAAGAACUUAGGGGAAGCAACUCAACAUCUAAGAAGAAAUGAAUAGGGAUCAGUUCCAAGAAGAGAUAAAGGGGAAAUACCCAAGAACUGGGAUGCUUCGUCUUUGGUUUCUUCUGGAUCCUCCCUAAAUUUUGGCUAAGAAAUCUGAGUCUCCAUUUAAGAGUGUUCCCAGAAAUGAUGACAUCCACAUCCAGGAACCUCCUCCUUCCUUCAUUUGAACUCUCUUGCUUCUGGGGAGCCAGGACCUAUGGAGUAAAAAUCAAGUUCAUUUGGUGACACAUUCCCUCCGGGCCCAGAUGCUGUCUCUGCUGCUGUAAACUCUCCUGCAGUCAAGGCCAAGCAAUAUAUCUAAGCAUCCCUUUGUCAGGUGUCCCCAAGUCUUUACAUCCCAGGGCAAUAAAACAACACUCUGAA
rnacentral:lncRNA from 1 species